UUGGUUAAGUUAGAAAGGGCGCACGGUGGAUGCCUUGGCACUAGGAGCCGAAGAAGGACGGGACUAACACCGAUAUGCUUUGGGGAGCUGUACGUAAGCGUUGAUCCAGAGAUUUCCGAAUGGGGGAACCCACUAUCUUUAGUCGGAUAGUAUCCUUACGUGAAUACAUAGCGUGAGGAAGGCAGACCCAGGGAACUGAAACAUCUAAGUACCUGGAGGAAGAGAAAGAAAAAUCGAUUUCCUGAGUAGCGGCGAGCGAAACGGAAAGAGCCCAAACCAAGAAGCUUGCUUCUUGGGGUUGUAGGACACUCUAUACGGAGUUACAAAAGAAAGUUAUAAAUGAAGCGGUCUGGAAAGGCCCGCCAAAGACGGUAACAGCCCGGUAGUUGAAAUGGCUUUCCCUCCAGAGUGGAUCCUGAGUACGGCGGAACACGUGAAAUUCCGUCGGAAUCCGGGAGGACCAUCUCCCAAGGCUAAAUACUCCCUAGUGACCGAUAGUGAACCAGUACCGUGAGGGAAAGGUGAAAAGCACCCCGGAAGGGGAGUGAAACAGUUCCUGAAACCGUGUGCCUACAAGUAGUUAGAGCCCGUUAAUGGGUGAUAGCGUGCCUUUUGUAGAAUGAACCGGCGAGUUACGAUUUGUUGCAAGGUUAAGCGGAAAAAGCGGAGCCGUAGCGAAAGCGAGUCUGAAUAGGGCGCAUAAGUAACAGGUCGUAGACCCGAAACCAGGUGAUCUACCCAUGUCCAGGAUGAAGGUAAGGUAAUACUUACUGGAGGUCCGAACCCACGCACGUUGAAAAGUGCGGGGAUGAGGUGUGGGUAGCGGAGAAAUUCCAAUCGAACUUGGAGAUAGCUGGUUCUCUCCGAAAUAGCUUUAGGGCUAGCCUCGAGGUAAAGAGUCAUGGAGGUAGAGCACUGUUUGGACUAGGGGCCCUUCUCGGGUUACCGAAUUCAGAUAAACUCCGAAUGCCAUGUACUUAUACUCGGGAGUCAGACUGCGAGUGAUAAGAUCCGUAGUCGAAAGGGAAACAGCCCAGACCACCAGUUAAGGUCCCCAAAUAUAUGUUAAGUGGAAAAGGAUGUGGGGUUGCUUAGACAACCAGGAUGUUGGCUUAGAAGCAGCCACCAUUGAAAGAGUGCGUAAUAGCUCACUGGUCGAGUGACCCCGCGCCGAAAAUGUACCGGGGCUAAACAUAUUACCGAAACUGUGGAUGAACCUCUUUAGAGGUUCGUGGUAGGAGAGCGUUCUAAGGGCGGUGAAGUCAGACCGGAAGGACUGGUGGAGCGCUUAGAAGUGAGAAUGCCGGUAUGAGUAGCGAAAGAAGGGUGAGAAUCCCUUCCACCGAAUAUCUAAGGUUUCCUGAGGAAGGCUCGUCCGCUCAGGGUUAGUCGGGACCUAAGCCGAGGCCGAUAGGCGUAGGCGAUGGACAACAGGUAGAGAUUCCUGUACCAGUGCUAAUUGUUUAACCGAUGGGGUGACACAGAAGGAUAGGGAAUCGCACGAAUGGAAAUGUGCGUCCAAGCAGUGAGUGUGAGAAGUAGGCAAAUCCGCUUCUCGCGAAGCAUGAGCUGUGAUGGGGAAGGAAAUUAAGUACGGAAGUUCCUGAUUUCACGCUGUCAAGAAAAGCCUCUAGGA
rnacentral:rRNA from 1 species